UACGGAGGGUGCAAGCGUUGCUCGGAAUUAUUGGGCGUAAAGGGUAGGUAGGUGGUCUCGUUUGUCUGGGGUGAAAGCCUUGAGCUUAACUCAAGAAGUGCCCCGGAAACGGCGAGACUCGAGUCCUGGAGAGGUUAGUGGAAUUCCCGGUGUAGCGGUGAAAUGCGUAGAGAUCGGGAGGAACACCAGAGGCGAAGGCGGCUAACUGGACAGGUACUGACACUCAACUACGAAAGCGUGGGGAGCAAACAGG
rnacentral:rRNA from 1 species